UUUCCUGUGGCUCAGUCAGUAGAGCAUUGUGCGAGCAACGCAAAGGUCAUCGGUUCAAACCAGGGAAAG